GGUGGGGGAUACUUUAUACUUAAACAUAUACAUAAUACAUACAUACUAAAGAUGAUGAACAACAUCAUCAUAUAUAGCCAAGAUCUUUCAUGUCAAAUCAUCAAAAAUAUAUAUAAAACUAUAGCGGAAGCGUAGCUUAAUGUAGUCAUAGAGAAUAUGGUCCUUCGUCAUGUAUCCAUCAACUCCAUGUGUUUUGUCCCUUAUCCUUGUAUCCAAAUGUAUGUUUAUAGUAGAACAUGUAGGUUAUUUGACAUUCUAAUUGUAGACCACCCUUAACCUUAGUUUCUCCUCUAAUGGGAUGAAGAGAAUAACUUGAUAUGUUGUGGUUCAUAUUGUU
rnacentral:lncRNA from 1 species